rnacentral:rRNA from 1 species
AAAUUGAAGAGUUUGAUCAUGGCUCAGAUUGAACGCUGGCGGCAGGCCUAACACAUGCAAGUCGAACGGUAACAGGAAGAAGCUUGCUUCUUUGCUGACGAGUGGCGGACGGGUGAGUAAUGUCUGGGAAACUGCCUGAUGGAGGGGGAUAACUACUGGAAACGGUAGCUAAUACCGCAUAACGUCGCAAGACCAAAGAGGGGGACCCUCGGGCCUCUUG